rnacentral:rRNA from 1 species
AUUGAACGCUGGCGGCAGGCCUAACACAUGCAAGUCGAACGGUAACAGGAAGAAGCUUGCUUCUUUGCUGACGCGUGGCGGACGGGUGAGUAAUGUCUGGGAAACUGCCUGAUGGAGGGGGAUAACUACUGGAAACGGUAGCUAAUACCGCAUAACGUCGCAAGACCAAAGAGGGGGACCUUCGGGCCUCUUGCCAUCGGAUGUGCCCAGAUGGGAUUAGCUAGUAGGUGGGGUAACGGCCCACCUAGGCGACGAUCCCUAGCUGGUCUGAGAGGAUGACCAGCCACACUGGAACUGAGACACGGUCCAGACUCCUACGGGAGGCAGCAGUGGGGAAUAUUGCACAAUGGGCGCAAGCCUGAUGCAGCCAUGCCGCGUGUAUGAAGAAGGCCUUCGGGUUGUAAAGUACUUUCAGCGGGGAGGAAGGGAGUAAAGUUAAUACCCUUGCUCAUUGACGUUACCCGCAGAAGAAGCACCGGCUAACUCCGUG